GGACGGACUUGAUCGAAUUGAGCCUUGAUAUGGAAACCUACCAAGUGAUAGCUUCCAAAUCCAGGGAACCCUGGGAUAUUUUGAAUGGAUAAUCCUGAGCCAAAUCCGGUUCAUGGAGACAAUAGUUUCUUCUUUUCUUCUCCUAAGAUAGGAAGGGGAUAGGUGCAGAGACUCAAUGGAAAUGAGUUUCUGGUAAUUCAGUUUCUUCUUUGCAAUUCACCUUCCACCUUUCAAAACCUCAUGAACUACAUCUUUGAGCCCCUUCUACACCAUUUUGUCUUGGUCUUCUUUGAUGACAUCUUGAUCUACAACAAAACUUGGGU
rnacentral:ncRNA from 1 species